rnacentral:rRNA from 1 species
CCUACGGGUGGCAGCAGUGAGGAAUAUUGGUCAAUGGGAGGAAUCCUGAACCAGCCAUGCCGCGUGCAGGACGACGGCUCUACGAGUUGUAAACCUCUUUUGUCGGGGAGCAAAGAGAGUCACGUGUGACUCAUUGAGAGUACCCGAAGAAAAAGCAUCGGCUAACUCCGUGCCAGCAGCCGCGGUAAUACGGAGGAUGCGAGCGUUAUCCGGAUUUAUUGGGUUUAAAGGGUGCGCAGGCGGAGGUGCAAGUCAGCGGUCAAAUUGCGGGGCUCAACCCCGUACUGCCGUUGAAACUGCAUCCCUUGAGUGCGCGAGAAGUAUGCGGAAUGCGUGGUGUAGCGGUGAAAUGCAUAGAUAUCACGCAGAACUCCGAUUGCGAAGGCAGCAUACCGGCGCGCAACUGACGCUCAUGCACGAAAGCGUGGGUAUCGAACAGGAUUAGAUACCCUUGUAGUC